AGCUUCCUAAAGGGAAGAGGGGAAGGGAGAAGGGAAAAAGGACAAAAUAGGAUGAAAAGGGACAAAAACAAAACAGGUCUACACGAUCUAAAAACCCAGUAACCAGCAAACUAAAGAACUGACAAAAUCUCACCACUUCCCUUGAGAGAAGCUGGACGGUUGGACGCGGCCCAACACUCUCCCCUCACGCGUGGCAGAUAACAGCAGUCACUGUAGGCCUCAGUUCCAGAUAAGCAAGACCGAGACAGGGACCCACCGUUCUCGAACCUCGCCGGAAAGGAAGAGAAGAGAGGUCCCUCCCGUUGGCUUUAUUUAUACCUCAAGUUACGUAAAGGAAUAGCAUGGAAUACUUCUGUGGUCACCUUCCUAGUUCCUUCCUGGUUACAAGCUGGUCUGCAGGAAGGCCUAGAGUGAAAACUAUCACAACAAGACUGUACAGGGUCUGAG